AAACUCGACGAUGAAGAACUGGUGUCCUACAUCCUCGCCGGCCUCGACAUUGACUACAACCCACUGGUUUCGACAAUUGCUGCACGAGUGGAGCCCAUCACAGUAGCCGAGCUCCAUGCACAAAUGCUUUCCUUUGAGA